AUUGAACGCUGGCGGCAGGCCUAACACAUGCAAGUAGAGCGGAGCGGCGGACGGGUGAGUAAUGCCUAGGAAUCUGCCUGGUAGUGGGGGAUAAGGUCCGGAACCGGGCGCUAAUACCGCACACUAUCAGAUUAGCCUAGGUCGGACUGGCUAGUGGGGGGGGUAAAGGCCCACCAGGGCGACGAUCCGUAACUGGUCUGAGAGGAUGAUCAGUCACACUGGAACUGAGACACGGUCCAGAGUCCUACGUGAGGCAGCAGUGGGGAAUAGUGGACAAUGGGCGAAAGCCUGAUCCAGCCAGGCCGCGUGUGUGAAGAAGGUCUUCGGAUUGUAAAGCACUUUAAGUUGGGAGGCGUUACCAACAGAAUAAGCACCGGCUAACUUCGUGCCAGCAGCCGCGGUAAUUC
rnacentral:rRNA from 1 species